rnacentral:lncRNA from 1 species
ACUAAACGAACAUGCCGGUCAAAAGCUGAGAUCCGGGUCUUAAAAAAGAAACCGUAUGACAAAGCGAUCUCAUACUCCCUCACCUCAAACCCUUCCAUUUCGCGAAUUACAGAGCUGAAGCAAAGGGGCGAAUUCCUUCACAAGACUCCCUUCAAAUCGCGAACACUGAUUCUCUCAAUUCCAUCCAUAUGAAACCCUCGAAAUUCAGACAUAAAGGAUGCCCAGUGAUUUUAUCCAGGUAUCUCUACUUUUCGUAGUCAGAAUUUUUCAAUGAUCUUUAUCUAUAUUUAUUAUACCUUUUCUCAUCUUAAUCUUAAUCUUAAUCUUAAUCAUUUCUCACGCGCUUGUAUAUUUCUGAAAAUAGAAAAGUAUCUGGGCUUCUUUUUUUUAGUUUCGUUUCGUUGCUUCGUCCUAUCUCUAAUUUUAUGUUUUUGGGUUUUGUUUUCUCAUCUGGGUUUUUCUCUAUAUCCCCUUACCUACCACUCAUUUUCUUUGAUUUCGGUUUCUGGAUUCUCUGUUUUGAUGGAAUUUGGUGGCAGUAAAGUUCCCUCUACUUUUUAUCUCUCUUUUACCGUUUUAUUUUCCCAUUUUUAGCUUUAUAUCUCUGAUUCUCCUUUGCUUUGAUGGUCUCCAUGGGUUUUGAUGCAGCCAUUGAUGUAUUCCAUACCGCUUUAAAUAUUUCUACUUUUGUCAAAUGGCUUGCCCUCUUAUUUACGAUUUUAGUUCUGUCAAAUUUAUAACCAAUAUUGCUCGUUGUACCCUACAAAUCGGAAUUCAAUCUCUUUUGAGUCUACUUUUUUUAACCAUUAUCCACAUUUUCAUUUAUCUCAUGGACUAUUUUUUCUUUAAUUUCAUUUAAAUCAAAUAGACGUAUUAUAGAUUAAUUAACCCAUUUUUGCUUUGAAAGAGGUGAACCCUCUGCUUUCUCCUUGUUUGUUAACAAUAUUAGUUUAUUUUGUACAUGCAGCAGGAUUAAAUAAAUGCAAUUUGAAUUUCCAGAUAUCCGGUGAAAGAGUUACAACUUACCGAAGGGACUGACCAAGAUUGUAUGUUACUAUAUUCAUAAUUGAUAGUUAUUCAUCUCUAGGUGAUUGUAAAAAUCCUCUUCUAAAGGAUAUUUUCAUUAUAGAGUUUUCAACCAACAUUUUGCUUUUUCAUUUCAGGAUGAGAUUUUGUGGUGCUAAACCUGAUGCUCUUCACAGUGCCUCUAGCUAUGAGAUUUUUGUGGUGCUAAACCUGAUUUUCAAAUGUUGCUGGGCUGCAUUCUGUAUGAUGUUCAAAUGUAGUAAACAUGUUCCUACUUGUAAGGAUGGCAGAGUCUGGCUUUGUAAAAGGUAAUCAGUUCUUUGUAAAAGAUAAUCAGUUUAUGCCUUUCAUUUUGUCCUUGUGCAGAGCAGUGGAGUACAUUAUCAGUUCUUAACAAUUGAAUAUUUUUUAAGUUUGUAAGCUUGUGCAGAGCAGUGGAGUACUUUUUAUAAGUUUGUUACUGCCUUUGAUUCCAAUUAUUUUUGUCCUUGUGCAGAUAUGUAGAUGUAUAUACAUGUAUCAUAGUUUCUGGGAUUUAAACUCUCUCUGUUGCUAGUGUGAUCACAAAAUGCUGGGUUUGUAAUUAGUAGUGUAGCUAGAUAUGGAUUGACUUAAUAAAAGUUUCCCUGUGCCGUUGGGAUCAGGUUCCUUAAGAGUCAAGAAGUACUAUCCAUCACCUCAACUUCCUCUGAAAUAAAGCCCAUGUUUUGAUGGAGCAGCAAAUCAGCCAGAUCAAACAACACCAAUGCAAACGUAGAGUAAUUUAUAAGGAAUCAGUUGUUGCAAAUUAGUCACACCCAACAAUUACACAUGCAUGUGAUCAACACAACACACUGCGAAGAACAGUUGGCCUUGGCCUUAGAUGUGCGCAGCCUGCACUCUAUCAACUCAUAGGAAUUUUAGCAACAUUACAUGCAAAAGUUUCAUAUAAUCCAGAUUUAGAACAUAGUAAUUUUCAUACCAUAGAUCCACUAAUCUCAUAUAUAACGUGUUGGUUAAAUAAUGAACAUUAUUAAAAUUACAGUCGAUUUAAUAAAAUUAACAACAACACCGCA